GGGAGCUUGCUCCUGGAUUCAGCGGCGGACGGGUGAGUAAUGCCUAGGAAUCUGCCUGGUAGUGGGGGAUAACGUCCGGAAACGGGCGCUAAUACCGCAUACGUCCUGAGGGAGAAAGUGGGGGAUCUUCGGACCUCACGCUAUCAGAUGAGCCUAGGUCGGAUUAGCUAGUUGGUGGGGUAAAGGCCUACCAAGGCGACGAUCCGUAACUGGUCUGAGAGGAUGAUCAGUCACACUGGAACUGAGACACGGUCCAGACUCCUACGGGAGGCAGCAGUGGGGAAUAUUGGACAAUGGGCGAAAGCCUGAUCCAGCCAUGCCGCGUGUGUGAAGAAGGUCUUCGGAUUGUAAAGCACUUUAAGUUGGGAGGAAGGGCAGUAAGUUAAUACCUUGCUGUUUUGACGUUACCAACAGAAUAAGCACCGGCUAACUUCGUGCCAGCAGCCGCGGUAAUACGAAGGGUGCAAGCGUUAAUCGGAAUUACUGGGCGUAAAGCGCGCGUAGGUGGUUCAGCAAGUUGGAUGUGAAAUCCCCGGGCUCAACCUGGGAACUGCAUCC
rnacentral:rRNA from 2 species